AUUGAACGCUGGCGGCAUGCCUUACACAUGCAAGUCGAACGGUAACAGGUCUUCGGAUGCUGACGAGUGGCGAACGGGUGAGUAAUACAUCGGAACGUGCCUAGUAGUGGGGGAUAACUACUCGAAAGAGUGGCUAAUACAGCAUGAGAUCUACGGAUGAAAGCAGGGGAUCGCAAGACCUUGUGCUACUAGAGCGGCAGAUGGGAGAUUAGGUAGUUGGUGGGAUAAAAGCUUACCAAGCCGACGAUCUGUAGCUGGUCUGAGAGGACGAUCAGCCACACUGGGACUGAGACACGGCCCAGACUCCUACGGGAGGCAGCAGUGGGGAAUUUUGAACAAUGGGCGCAAGCCUGAUCCAGCAAUGCCGCGUGCAGGAUGAAGGCCUUCGGGUUGUAAACUGCUUUUGUACGGAACGAAAAGCCCUGGGUUAAUACCCUGGGGUCAUGACGGUACCGUAAGAAUAAGCACCGGCUAACUACGUGCCAGCAGCCGCAGUAAUAC
rnacentral:rRNA from 1 species